CAUGCAGUGGUCUUUGAGUUCAAUCUUCAGUACCACCAAAAAGAUAAGAAAUUGGCACUUACGCAAUAAAGUUGCACCAGGAAGUAAGCACUCAUUACGUGUUCAUUAGACUGAAAUGUUGAUUUAGAAGACAAGGGUGCCCAUUGCUGUAAGAACUGGUUCCUCCUUAGAGAGAACUGUCCGUGUGGAUUCGUGCUCUUGUGAAUUUUCCCAUAGCAUACCGAAGGAUUUUCUCAUCAUGAUUCAUCAGUGUACUUAUUUGUCACUAUUCUGAGCCACAUGGUAUGUGGUGUGUACAAUGUCCUUGUCUAUAGCAUGAGGCUUCAGAUUCAGCCCUAACACACAGAGCAGGGACCCCUAGUGGUCUGUAAGCUGAGACAGACACAAGGUGGCAGGCAGCUUGGCUGUUGAAGCACAGUAAGACUGGCAAAUGAGAAGAUGCCAGAAGCAGCUGGGUUAAUAUCUGCGUGUUGUGUUUCCGGUGUGCCUCUUGGUAUAGCACAAAAGCUCUCCCUGCUCCCUCCAGGGGGUUCUCGAAAAGCUUGGCCUGGCCUGGUUGGGUUCUCCAAAUACAUCAACUGGAACCCUGAGGUGAUACCCAGGUGUUAAUUAGGUUAAUCUUUCACUGUCCCCUGUCUAGUUGAAAUGUAACUCUUGUUCUAUGGACUUGCUCUUUGGAGAGCUGUUCCUUUGAUUCUGUCAUCCAGAGCCUUAAAGCAAUCAUGUGGUCACCACAUGACAAGUAGAAAGACUUUCCUUCCAUGAGGCAUUUCUGUUGCAUUACAAACCAUGGCCUCAAAUUCCUAAUACAUCUUCUUGCCACAAAUAUGUAAUCAUAAAGAACUGGCAGUCAGAUUCCUUCAGUGGAUCUCAUAUUUGCACAGAAAAACCUAAGAUGAAGCUGAAAAAUUACAUGGCCCCACUGUACAGCCAGUGGGAGCAGAGGCUCUUUGCUGUCACCCAGAAAGGCUCACAGCCCCUCUGUCAUGGUCAUAGCAGCCACACUGUGAGCUUUCAGCAGGCUUUAGUUCAUGACUUCACCUUGUACUCUUGGUCUCCAUUUCAAGCUUUGACUUUGCCAGUUCAUCCCCAACCAGGUAGUUCCUGUAAGGCCUUGAAGAGAUGUGCCUGUCCACCCCAAGUUUAGCACCCUUGGUCCCAUCUGUCUCUGAGGCCUGCCAACGCUAGUAUUUGUUCCUCCUUGGGCAGCGAUGAUGACUUUUGGGGUGGUGGCUGUGGAAAGCUGUAAGGCCUGUUUUCUCUAACCUCCUCUCCCAGAAUAAAGUGAUGGGGGCAGCUGUAGUGUCGCAGUUAGGAGCAUGAAUCUAUUACCGUUUGGACAAGGAAGGGAAAAUGCCAUUACUGUCAACUGAAAUGUCCUACUUGGGUUUUUUGCUCCUACUUCUCUGCCAAAGCCCAUUGCUACUGCUCACAGCUGUUCUUGGUGGCUUGAUCCUUAACACAGCCAGAAAUGCAGCCGGGAGACACUUAAGACAGUUUAUGGAAAAUAAUAGAUUUCCUUGCAGAGACACCAAAACCUCGAGAAGGGCCUGGAUUCGAGUUAGACCCAGCCAAGAUCACCGGUUCUCUCCCUUUCUGGCCUCAGUUACAAAGCCUCUUGCUCAAAACGUGCAGGCCCUCUUGAAUUCUCUGUUUUCCUGGUUGGUUUCUGUCAGCACCCACAAGUCUCUGGCUCUGGAGCCCUUUGUCUCACCACUCGCCUGCAGCUGCAUGAGAUCUGAGAAGAAACAGUGCCUCCACGUGUGGACAGAAAAGAUGCUACAGUGUGGAAAAGAACUUCCAGGAAAGCCAGCAGAGGCGAGCUGGGACUCAGCUCAGCAGCCUGGGCGCAGCAGAGACAGAUGGCUAUAUUGGAGGCCACCACUGCCCUCCCAGCGCAAGGGUGGGAUCCCUCCUUCCCCGUGUGGCAUCUCUGUGUGACCAAUCAGGAAUGCCAAGAAGUGGUGUAGUUAACUCUGCUCCCUUCAUCUAUGCAGCCAUGUCGCCUUGCCAACUCUCAGCCAGCCUUUAGUUAGGAGCCUCUGGGAAGGGCAUUCCCUUGGGCAGUCCGGGAGGGAGUGGCUUCUUGCUCACAAAUGCAGGGAAAGCUGCAAGAAUGACAGGGCCACAGACUUGCAGCUUCCAGACUGUUGAUGCAAAUUCAGGUCAAAAGCCAUGAGUCUUUCCCCACCCGUGCCCGGAAGUGAAGGUAGAGGGGAGUGGCCUGCAGGCACUGACCCAUCUCCUUUUCCCUCAUUGCAGUCACAAGCAGCCCCAGCCCAGUGCCAUCACUCCCCCACUGUUUUAUUCUCAGCUCCUCCUAAAUGGAAACCAUUAAUCAUACUAAAUUGUGCAAUGAUUCCAUGAUAGGGAGAAUGCUGAUGGCAAAAAUCAUUCUCCUUUGUUGUGCCAGGCAGGCAAAAGGCAGAGAAGUAUUAGUUUGUCUUUUGCAAGAGCCUGGCUCCUUGCAAAUGCUGACCAUGUGUUUGCCCAGGCAGCUGCUUCUAUAUGCACAGCUUAUUUUAGCAUCGGACUAAGGCACCCCAACUGUUGACAGAAAACAAGGCUCCUAGCCUCCUCUCCCUUAUUCCAAGGACUGCCAGGAGUACUUAAGUUUGUGGGUGCCCUCACCCAAGGUCUUUCCCAUUUCAAGGUCCUUAGAUUGGGGGAGGGCUGGGAUGGGUGGAAUGGGAUUGGUGGAAAACCCAGAGGUGGUCUCAAAUGGGGCAAGCUUGUAAGGUAAGCUAUCCAUCCACCCUCCCUCACCCCCACACACACACACUUCUGCCAGCUGGAUUGCAGGAGAAGCCAGGUGUGGGUACCAAGGAGGCUUUUUUUUUUUUUUUUUUUUUUUUUUUUGCUUUUCAGAAUUUGAUGUCUGCUUCGCUUUCGACAAGCCUCUUUGUAAGCCACCCCUUCUGAAUUAGAAUCGUUUUCCAAAAGCUCUUAAGCUAUGAUUAAUGCCAGGGCUGUUUUUAACAAUCAUCCUGCCAGUCUUAAGCUGUAGUCAUUUUCAAUAAUUUGGAGCGCUCAAAGGCAAGCCAGGAGUUUGUUGACAACAAAACCCAGAAGAGCACAGCCAGGCAGCCACAAAAGAUGGAAAAGCAAAGGGACCACUUGGGCUUAGCUGGCUUUCUGCUCCUAGAAUUUCACCACUAAAAGUGUGAUUGAAUGCUCACAAUGUAUUAAGGAUCCGACCGUGAACAUGACUGGGCGAGAGGGCUGCCAGCCUGGCUUUUGUGUCAACAAGCAAGCCGCGUGUUCGGAGGGCUUCUGGUUUACUUAUGGACACGUGUGGUUCAUGCAUGCUGUCCCCAAACCAAAGCCUCCUUUGUCUUCCUUCUGCCAACCUUGAAGAUUGAGAAAGAAUCACCUGUCAUCCCUUUUGCUUUGGAGACUGUUUGAUUCCUGGGAAUGAUGAACAGGUUAGGACUUGGGAAAGUCCUCUCCCCAGUCAUGUGUGUGGAAUGAGUGUUCUCUUUUUAAUCUUGGCAGUUUCACUCGAGAGUUUCCGCCUGUUUAAAUUGCAGACCAAAUGAAGCUGUGGCAAACAACGCCAUGAUCACAGAUUUCCUUAGGUCAGACUUCCAUGGCCUUUAUUUUUAGUUCGUUGCUUUCUCCUGUAGGAAAAUGGGUGAUAGGAGUUUGGCCCAGUGAGUUAUGUAUGUCUAAUAUAUAGUUGUGUCUCAGUUCAACCCUGCCUUCCAGGUGUGUCGCCAGUGAGAGAAGACCCCAGUAGAGCUAGGGGUGUGCAUGAGCUGACUUCCCAUACUUCCUCCAACCAUGAAUGACGGUCCAGCUCUCCCAGCGUGUACCCACUCAUUGCAUUUCCAGACGCUCUCUUCUGAGGCAGUAGUGGUGUAUUGACAGUGGCUGGUCCCUCUAAAAGGCAUUAAAGUCUCCUGGGGAUUUAAUGGGGGCUCCUGGCAAGCUUUCAGUGGACACUGUCCUGCUGUCGGUAUCCUGCCAGCAGCCCUGAGCCUUUGGGGAAAUGACGUUUCCUCAAGAGUGCUCAAUCCCUUUCAUACCCUGUCUCAGUUCACUGUAUCAGCCACGCCCCAAAACCAGAGACCUGAGCAUCAUUCUCAAAUCUCUCCUCUCAUCUCCCACCAUCAGUAGUUACUAGCUCCUGCCCAUUGUCCUCUAAAUGCUUCUUGGACUCCAUCUAAACCUGGUGUUUUUAUGUCACCAUCCUGGUCCUCGCCUCUUCAACUCAAAACAUGUGACAGCCUUUCCCCUAGCUUCCCAUCUUCCUGCCCACUACCCCCAUCACUAGACCUAAUGACCUGCUCUGGGCCACUCCCCUGUUCAGGCCAAGUCCCUUCUUGACUUUGGGUUUACCAUCAACUCAAUGCUCACAACAUGCCUUCCCCUCACUCUGGGCCUCAGCCCUAUCCAUGACCCUCAGCUGCAUGUCCUGUGCCGUACUGUGCUGCAAGGUCACUUCAGCAUCCCCCCACCUCUGUGCCUUAGAAAAGCUGAUUCAGGAUGCUUCCCUUUGACUUCUCAGUCUCUCAUUCUUACCUCAAGUUCUGUCCUUAUCUCAUGUCUGAACUAUUUAUUUACUUUGUCUCCCUCAGUAAAACAACAAAUUCCCUGAAAGUAGAGACAGAAUCAAAUUCCAGUCUGUAUCUCCAAAACCAAGGGCGGUAUCUGGCUCUGGGCUCAAUAAAUUGUUGGAUAGCAAAAGACUAUUUUUUUCGUCUGUGUCUGCCUCUUUUCUGAAAAAUUGGUGGGUAUGGCCUGUCCCCUUCUUUCUAGCCAGCAGUUCUCAAAUAUCUCCAACUCCUCCUGCCUGCUUUGUUGAAUUUGAAUUUUGUUUCUUCUGUCACAGUCAAAGUUGUUGGCUGUUCUUUGUUUUGUCUUUCCCGUCCUGACCUGGUUAAGGUCCAUAAGUGCAUGGCCUACUAACACCUCCAGGGCUUGUGAACGUAUUUGAUGCAUGGAAAGGAAAUAAAUAUGAGCUACAAAAUCCAGAGGAGACAAGAAACCUGCCCCCUCAAAUGUGUUAAGUGUUCAAUUAAACACCUACAAAACUAUAACAUUGUCAACCAAACAGCAAGCUGCAUCAAACUGAUUUUUUUUUUAGACUUCAGGCCUUAAGUGUAAGCAGUGUAGGCUGCAGGCUCUCACUGUGGAAGUGAGCUUCAGUUUCAAGGUUCUAGGCCCUGUAAAGACUUCCAAGCCCACCUCACUUGUUCUCUUUCCUCGCCUGUUCCUUCUCCCAUUCCUGGUCUUGUCAUCCCCAUCCCCACCCCCAGCUUCCUUUCUUGUCCUCGCCUUUCCCUGAAUCUCCCUCUCCCUAAGUGUACAAGAUGUGCUCUGGAGGAAGCCAGUCCAGGAAAGGCAGGUUCCAUUCCCACACAUGGGGGCUUAGCAGGGCAAGCUGCUCUACUCUAAAUAGUCACAGAAUCCUGCAGAUGUGUUAAAUGUUCAAAUUAAACACCGUCUUUGGCAAUGGUUCUCCCUCGAGCAGCAAGGACAAAUGCAAUCUGAGGGGAUAUGUGACCUGCACACCCCAGCUUCACUACUACAAAAGGCAAGUUGUCCAGGCAAUGCCCCAGGCUUGGGGGGGGGGCAGCUCUUCCCUGCCCCACUGCUGUGUUCCAGCUUUGGGUUUUUGUUUUGUUUUGGGUUUUUGUUUUUGGUGCCUGGGUGGAGAAUUAAUCUGGUGGGGAGGAGCUGCAAAGCCAGGGGCCUGAGUUGAGCUUCCAGCUGUCCCUCUGUUUCAGCCUGUGACUUGGGCAAUCGCUGCCUCCCUGAGCCUUGCUCUGCUGCUAUAAAGAGCCUGGAUCCCAAAUUGUUUCCAGUCCUUUGUAAAGUGCUUUAACCCCUUAGGUUCAAGGUACGGCUUGUGAGCAAAAGGGAUGCUGUUGUCCCGGAGCAUUUAGAACCCAACAAACUGUACUGCCUGCUCUUGAGUUGGAAAUUAAAAAGCUGGAAUGAGUGAUGACUAAUCCCCCUGUUGUUUCAUGGUGUCCUUGUCAUCUUGGGAUUGUCCAAUUUGGGCCCCUUUUCUUUAAAAACAAAUAAAACUCUUUUGUGAA